CCACCUCGCGUCACUCUCCAGCGCUUUCGGGAUCGGACGCGCAUUCGUUCGUUCUUUAAUUCAUUUAUUCCACAGUAGAGGAGCGAGCGGCCUCGAUCGGUCUACAGUUUCCAGCUGUCCCGUAUUGUUUUAUGGAACUAGUAAAUAUGAACCACUUUGAAAAGAUUGACAAACUGUUGAAUUCUAUAGUGGACAGCCUAUUUGGGGAAAGAGAAGUGGUAUACAGAGCAGCCUCAGGAAUACAAAUACUCCUUCAUCCACUGUGGAACAUUAACCCAUCCAUUUCUUUUUUCAAACCGCUUGUCCUGUGUAGGACUGCUGAGAUGUUGGAGCAUAUCCCAGAAAAAAAAAAGUUUCAAAGUUUAUUUGUUGGCCGGAGGCUGAUUAAAUGCAUUAAUGAAUAAGCAUUUCUAUCUGUACAUCUCUGCAGCCACACAGCCAUAAUAAUGGUAUUGGUGCAUUCCAAAUAAAAAUCUAAUUUGUCUGUCCUUUUGUUUUGCUGUGAUUUUUCAGGUUGAGAAUAACAUAUAACCCACAAAAAAAAUAAAUAAGUAAAUAAAAAUAAAUAAAAUUUGGAUGACACCUCUGUGAUAAAACUAAUGCAUUAAAAUGACUUGUGAUCCUAUUAAUCUAGGAAUCCACUUCUCACAUGGAGAGUAAAAUGUUCAACAUUUAUUUAAUGUUUUCAGUUUUUUUUUUCACUGUCAUGGUCAUACAUUUGAUUUAAAAUUGACACAUGGUUUGCCUGUGGCUGACAUACGUGAUAUCUCAUUUUCUGAUCACAGACAGAUAUUUACAAUAUCCCUUCCAGCAUUACCCAGUACUCUACCAACCCGAGCACAUUGGCCUCACAUCUUCACUACAUAUUUACAUGAUGUUUUUUUCUGAAAUGUAUCUGGAGACUGACAAACCUCUUUAGACUUUCUUACUAUGCUCUAACAUCUUAGAUUAUAUUGCACCUCAGAAGAUUAUCUAUAGUAAAUGCAAUGUUUCAGUCAUGGAUAAUUAGUGACAUUCGACAGACAGACGAUAGAUAGAUAGAUAG